AACAGAAAACCCUAGAUCUGAGCAAAAGCCACAGCCGCGCCACCCAAAGACCAUCUGCUGCAACACCAUCGCAAAUCCGCAAUCACCGAGAAAGAGUAACUGGUAACAACACAAACCAAAGGUCCAGGCGGAAGAUGGGGGGGAACUAGCCACCCGCACAAAACGUGCUCCCAUAAUCCAAGGGACAAGACUCACAAGCCACCGAUAGAUACCGCCACCGAAAGAGAUCGACGGAAGUUGUACCCGCAGAGCCGAGGAGCAAGGAGUGGUGAUUGAGAACCAACAAAGAAGGGUAGCUGCUAGCCAAAGGAGAGAGAACUGUAGAGGGGAUAAAAGACUCAGAUCUGAGACAUAGCUCCGAGAAAAUGCACUCAUGGGGAGUGGGAGGAGCUGACGACUCACAAGUAGGGGAGGAGGCAAAGAUGAGAGGACAAGAAACACAAACAAACAGAAAAAGUAAAAAACUCUCACAAGGGAGAGAGGAGACUCUCACAGAGAGGAGAGAGGAGACUCUCACAGAGGGGAGAGAGGAAAGUAGGGACUUGUCACUUGUACAUAGAGAAACCAGGGGAGGAAGUGAGGAGGAACCAAGACCUCCUCCCCCAGUGCGGCGCCAAAGUGUGUUUUUUUUCUCAGAGAAGUUGUUGGCCGACCUUUGUGGUAUGCUUCUAAGCACAGUAUUAAUAGUCACUUUCAAUUCCAAUCAAUCAAGCAACUCCAACAAUAGUACUGAUAUAUAGGACAUUGCCUCGCAAUUUCUCUAUCAAAAUUCAAAGGAAAUUGUCUCAUCUUAAUUUAAACUAUGUCUUAACUUCCAGCAAAAUAAAUUUUUUCUUGUGGUGUGUAGUGGACGACUUAAUGGUCGCCAUUUCAGUCAACUGAACUUUCAUUGAAUAAGUCAUUGAAAGAAGUUGUGAUUCAAGUCAUGCAUUAGCAGAAGAAUUGUAGAAAGAAAAAAAAUGGGAGGAGGCUUAAUAUUGAGGUACAUGUGGUUGUGGAUGCAAUUGUAGGCAAUAAUUGGGGAGGGGUGGAAGGGGCUGGGGAGUGCGGGCAGCUGGACCCGGAGGUGCUGAUCUACAAGCUAGCAUCUUGUGCACCCUCCUCACAGGAUAAGAGCGUGGAGGUUCCUCCCAAGUGCUGUGGUCUGAUGCAGAAGGUCCGCACAAGCUGCCUUUGUGCCAUCAUCCUUUCUAAAGAAGCCAAGAGCCUUGGGCUCAACCCCGCAGUUGCCGGCUCCGUUCCUAAACGCUGCAAAAUUGCUGGACGUCCUAAGGGUUACAAGUGCGGAGCUUAUGUGGUGGAAUGACUAAGAAGACCAUUGGGUCAUGGUGCGCGGCAGCUAUGGUUCUCAAGUAACUUAUAGACAGCACUCUUAAUGAUAAGCUAAUCUAGCUUACAAUGUUUAAUUAGUAUAAUUAACCUUGAAGAAACUUACUAUUGAUAAAUAAAAGGUUUUGAUUCAUGUGGUUUA